CAUGCUUGGCGGAGUUUUGUAAAGUAUUUUUUUAUACCGAAAGGCUCUGAUCUUGAGUUUAAUUGUUUGGCAUUGUUUUAAACUUGGGUAAAGUUUUUUAAAUUAAAUUCAUGGAGUGAUAAGUAAGUCGUAGAUCUUUAUAACUGUUUAGUUGUUGGUUAUUUAUAGUAAUGUAUGUGGCUAGAAGGUCAUUUAUGUUUUUAUACAUUUAGUAUUUUUGUGUUGUUUAAUAAGGUUAGGGGUACCUAGUUUUUGUUAUAUUGUUAUAAAUAUGGUUUUGUUUAUUUUGGUGAUUUGUUAAUUGUUUAAACAACUUUUUGUGAUAUUUGGCUGUUAUAUUAUCGUUGAAUGAGUAAUUUUAUUAUGCUAUUUAUUUCUUGAGUUCUUUCCGUCUGUUUAUUAAAAACAUUUCCAACUUGAAUUAUAGUUGGUAGUGCCUGCCCAAUGUUAGUUAAUUAAUGGCCGCAGUAUAUUGACUGUGCAAAGGUAGCAUAAUUAAUUGCCUUUUAAUUGGGGGCUUGUUUGAAUGGUUUGACGUGAUUGGUAUGAAUAUUUGGUAUUUUAUUGAAAUUGAUUUUAAGGGUUCAGAAUCCUUUAUUUUUAGU
rnacentral:rRNA from 1 species